UACAGAGGAUGCAAGCGUUAUCCGGAAUGAUUGGGCGUAAAGCGUCUGUAGGUGGCUUUUUAAGUCCGCCGUCAAAUCCCAGGGCUCAACUCUGGACAGGCGGUGGAAACUACCAAGCUGGAGUCCGGUAGGGGAGUGUGGAAUUCCCGGUGUAGCGGUGAAAUGCGCAGAUAUCGGGAGGAACACCAGUAGCGAAGGCGGCACUCUGGGCCGGUACUGACGCUGAGGAGCGAAAGCGUGGGGAGCGAACAGG
rnacentral:rRNA from 1 species